CCGGUUGAUCCUGCCGGACCUGACUGCUAUCGGAUUGAUACUAAGCCAUGCGAGUCAUUGUAGCAAUACAAGGCAUACGGCUCAGUAACGCGUAGUCAACCUAACCUAUGGACGGGAAUAACCUCGGGAAACUGAGAAUAAUGCCCGAUAGAACAUUAUGCCUGGAAUGGUUUAUGUUCCAAAUGAUUUAUCGCCGUAGGAUGGGACUGCGGCCUAUCAGUUUGUUGGUGAGGUAAUGGCCCACCAAGACUAUUACAGGUACGGGCUCUGAGAGGAGUAGCCCGGAGAUGGGUACUGAGACACGGACCCAGGCCCUAUGGGGCGCAGCAGGCGAGAAAACUUUGCAAUGUGCGAAAGCACGACAAGGUUAAUCCGAGUGGUUUCUGCUAAAGGAACCUUUUGUCAGUCCUAGAAACACUGAUGAAUAAGGGGUGGGCAAGUUCUGGUGUCAGCCGCCGCGGUAAAACCAGCACCUCAAGUGGUCAGGAUGAUUAUUGGGCCUAAAGCAUCCGUAGCCGGCUCAGUAAGUUUUCGGUUAAAUCUGUACGCUCAACGU
rnacentral:rRNA from 1 species